rnacentral:tRNA from 1 species
GUGCCUGUAGCUCAGCUGGAUAGAGUACCGGCCUACGAAGCCGUUGGUCGCGCGUUCGAAUCGCGCCAGGCACGCCA